rnacentral:lncRNA from 1 species
UUAAAGCGUCGCUUUUUGAACUAUGCCUAGAUGAGAAGGCGGUCUGGGCAUAAGAGAUUUCAAGCAGUUUCAGAUUUCUGCCAUUAUAGAAAGGACAAGCCCCGCAUGGACGAACGAAGGGAUAUGGACAAAUUUAGUCAGAAGUAGAUACAUCAAAAAUAGCCAAUUGCAAGAUCUGACUUUCCGUCCAAAGGACUCUUUCAUAUGGAAAGCGGCUCUGCGAAACAAAGAAACAACAUUAGGCCGGAAGUAUGGAUUGUGACCAGCAAGGUGUGUUCGUUUGGAAAGGCAUCGAAAACAGGUUAGGCUUGGUCAAUGUUUUCGAAUCAAUCAAGCCACGCAAGCCAAGGGAUCUGCUGGUGCGCAGAGUUUGGACCUUAAAGAUUUCAAAGUGGGGAAUUUUCUAUGGAGGUUGCAAUUCGAGAAGUUACCGACAAUGGACCAGCUUUUUUUUGGAAUAAAAAUCGUGAUAAAUAUAUAUCCAAAAAAAUGGUACACCACGUACAUUGAGUUCUGCAUUAGUCUAGCUUUAGAUUUCCACAUACCCCUUCCUCUCAUCUCGGUUUCAAAAAUCCUUCAAAAAGGUUGGGAUAUACUUCCGUCCGCCAUGUGCUUGUGUCCAUCCGAGGGUCCGACACUCCCACACGACCAUAGUCCGUUGAAGACAUCCUCCUUCCCCUCCUCCCCAAAAGAAAGCAAGGGUUGAAAUCGCCAAUAAUCAACUAAGUCGACUAGUCAGACGUGGGGCAAACGUAGGAUAGCCAUCGCCACCCGUCCACCCCAAAAGAGUUCCAUUUUUAAGGAACGAUCCCCGACCAGACUCCUCGGCCCCUCCUCAGGUAUAUAUCUCACCAUACCCAAUUUGGGAUUUAGACCCACUACUAAGUAACAUCCGUUGUUUUGGGUACCUCUUCUAUCCCAUACAACAAAUAACAUGUCUUCCAUAGUUGAGUUUCUAGAUUUAAAUCUAAAUCUAUCAUAAACAAUACGCACAUCCACAACUAUACGCCGUGUCAGCUCUGAUGAGAGUAAAGAUCUGCUCUCAUGCUUCCUCCGGUUACGCUCACCCUAAAUUGCCCAUGUGCUUGACCCAAGUAUAGUCCAACACAUGCCCCAUGCAGGUGAUCGUCGUAUUCUCGUGUCUGCCCAGUCCAAUAUGAUUCGAUCUCUACAUUUGUCGGUGUUAAGAAGUCCCCUAUAUGCCUACGGAUCUGCCUCCAUACAUCUCUGGAAUAGCAAUGGACCGACUUGCUUCUAAAGGUAUGCAGGUUUCCAAAAUCAGCUUUUCGCUCUACAAUGAGGAAGACAAAUCCAUAGAGCAUGUGUUCUACAAGUGCAAUUUCUCAAACAGGAUAUACCAUCACAAUGUUGGGAAGAAGCGGGAAACUUAAUCGAAGUUGGCAACAUUACCGACUUCGAGUCAUUAAAUCUGGUAAUUGACACUCUCACCUUAAAUUCCCAAUUUCGGGGGUUGCAUUAGGCAAUUACCGGAAUCGCAAGCUGGCAUCUGUGGAAGGAACGUAAUGCGAGAAAGAAGAAGCUAGGGAGCCUACUUCUCCGAUGAGGCAAUGUUCAACCAAACCAUCUGCAUGACGAAUACUGGUUUCAAGGAGGAAGCCUAUAAAAAGACUCAUAAAACGAGAAUUGAAGCGGUCGGCUACCAAGUAUGGAAUGCCUACAUAUUGUUGGAUGAAGAAGUUAUUGAGAGUAGCGGUUAAUCUUGUGGCAUUUAGAAAUCUCUUAAUUCUAAUUUAUUUUAUGUUAG